CAGUGGCUAAGACUGGAUAGGAAGAAAUAAGGCAUCUUAUUUCUUUUAAAAGACCUAGUAAUAGGUAUACUUUAGGAGGGGCUUGCGCCAUAUUAGUUAGUUGGUAGGGUAAUGGCCUACCAAGACGAUGAUGUGUAGCUGGACUGAGAGGUUGAACAGCCACAUUGGGACUGAGACACGGCCCAAACUCCUACGGGAGGCAGCAGUAAGGAAUUUUCGGCAAUGGAGGAAACUCUGACCGAGCAACGCCGCGUGAACGACGAAGUACUUUGGUAUGUAAAGUUCUUUUAUCAAGGAAGAAAAGCAAGUGGCGAACCAUUUGUUUGCCGGUACUUGAUGAAUAAGCCCCGGCUAAUUAUGUGCCAGCAGCCGCGGUAAGACAUAAGGGGCAAGUGUUAUCCGGAAUUAUUGGGCGUAAAGGGUGCGUAGGCGGUCUAGUAAGUCAGUGGUGUAAUGGCAACGCUCAACGUUGUCCGGCUAUUGAAACUGCUAAACUUGAGUUAGAUAGAGGCGAGUGGAAUUCCAUGUGUAGCGGUAAAAUGCGUAAAUAUAUGGAGGAACACCAGAGGCGUAGGCGGCUCGCUGGGUCUUAACUGACGCUGAGGCACGAAAGCGUGGGGAGCAAACAGGAUUAGAUACCCUGGUAGUCCACGCCGUAAACGAUGAGUACUAAGUGUCGGGUUAAACCGGUACUGAAGUUAACACAUUAAGUACUCCGCCUGAGUAGUACGUACGCAAGUAUGAAACUUAAAGGAAUUGACGGGACUCCGCACAAGCGGUGGAUCAUGUUGUUUAAUUCGAAGAUACCCGAAAAACCUUACCAGGUCUUGACAUGUUUUUGCGAAACGGUAGUAAUAUCGUAGAGGUUAUCAGAAACACAGGUGGUGCAUGGUUGUCGUCAGCUCGUGUCGUGAGAUGUUAGGUUAAGUCCUAAAACGAGCGAAACCCUUAUCGUUAGUUGCCAGCACGUUAUGGUGGGGACUUUAACGAGACUGCCAGUGAUAAACUGGAGGAAGGUGAGGAUCACGUCAAAUCAGCAUGCCCCUUAUGACCUGGGCUACAAACGUGAUACAAUGGCUGUUACAAAGGGUAGCUGAAACGUAAGUUCUUGGCCAAUCCCCAAAAACAGUCUCAGUCCGGAUUGAAGUCUGCAACUCGACUUCAUGAAGUUGGAAUCGCUAGUAAUCGCGAAUCAGCAUGUCGCGGUGAAUACGUUCUCGGGGUUUGUACACACC
rnacentral:rRNA from 1 species